UACGUAGGGAGCAAGCGUUGUCCGGAAUCAUUGGGCGUAAAGCGCGCGUAGGUGGCUUCGUAAGUCCGCUGUGAAAGUCAAAGGCUCAACCUUUGAAAGCCGGUGGAUACUGUGAAGCUAGAGUACGGAAGAGGCGAGUGGAAUCCUGGUGUAGCGGUGGAAUGCGCCAGAUAUCAGGAGGAACACCAAUAGCGAAGGCAGCUCGCUGGGACGUACUGACACUGGAGGCGCGAAGCGUGGGGAGCGAACAGG
rnacentral:rRNA from 1 species